rnacentral:rRNA from 1 species
GGUUAAGCGACUAAGCGUACACGGUGGAUGCCCUGGCAGUCAGAGGCGAUGAAGGACGUGCUAAUCUGCGAAAAGCGUCGGUAAGGUGAUAUGAACCGUUAUAACCGGCGAUGUCCGAAUGGGGAAACCCAGUGUGAUUCGUCACACUAUCGUUAACUGAAUACAUAGGUUAACGAGGCGAACCGGGGGAACUGAAACAUCUAAGUACCCCGAGGAAAAGAAAUCAACCGAGAUUCCCCCAGUAGCGGCGAGCGAACGGGGAGCAGCCCAGAGUCUGAAUCAGCUUGUGUGUUAGUGGAACGGUCUGGAAAGUCCGACGGUACAGGGUGAUAGUCCCGUACACCAAAAUGCACAGGCUGUGAACUCGAAGAGUAGGGCGGGACACGUGGUAUCCUGUCUGAAUAUGGGGGGACCAUCCUCCAAGGCUAAAUACUCCUGACUGACCGAUAGUGAACCAGUACCGUGAGGGAAAGGCGAAAAGAACCCCGGCGAGGGGAGUGAAAAAGAACCUGAAACCGUGUACGUACAAGCAGUGGGAGCACCUUCGGGUGUGACUGCGUACCUUUUGUAUAAUGGGUCAGCGACUUAUAUUCUGUAGCAAGGUUAACCGUAUAGGGGAGCCGCAGGGAAACCGAGUCUUAACUGGGCGUUAAGUUGCAGGGUAUAGACCCGAAACCCGGUGAUCUAGCCAUGGGCAGGUUGAAGGUUGGGUAACACUAACUGGAGGACCGAACCGACUAAUGUUGAAAAAUUAGCGGAUGACUUGUGGCUGGGGGUGAAAGGCCAAUCAAACCGGGAGAUAGCUGGUUCUCCCCGAAAGCUAUUUAGGUAGCGCCUCGUGAACUCAUCUUCGGGGGUAGAGCACUGUUUCGGCUAGGGGGUCAUCCCGACUUACCAACCCGAUGCAAACUACGAAUACCGAAGAAUGUUAUCACGGGAGACACACGGCGGGUGCUAACGUCCGUCGUGAAGAGGGAAACAACCCAGACCGCCAGCUAAGGUCCCAAAGUCAUGGUUAAGUGGGAAACGAUGUGGGAAGGCACAGACAGCCAGGAUGUUGGCUUAGAAGCAGCCAUCAUUUAAAGAAAGCGUAAUAGCUCACUGGUCGAGUCGGCCUGCGCGGAAGAUGUAACGGGGCUAAACCAUGCACCGAAGCUGCGGCAGCGACACUAUGUGUUGUUGGGUAGGGGAGCGUUCUGUAAGCCUGCGAAGGUGUGCUGUGAGGCAUGCUGGAGGUAUCAGAAGUGCGAAUGCUGACAUAAGUAACGAUAAAGCGGGUGAAAAGCCCGCUCGCCGGAAGACCAAGGGUUCCUGUCCAACGUUAAUCGGGGCAGGGUGAGUCGACCCCUAAGGCGAGGCCGAAAGGCGUAGUCGAUGGGAAACAGGUUAAUAUUCCUGUACUUGGUGUUACUGCGAAGGGGGGACGGAGAAGGCUAUGUUAGCCGGGCGACGGUUGUCCCGGUUUAAGCAUGUAGGCUGAUUGUCCAGGCAAAUCCGGAUAAUCAAGGCUGAGGUGUGAUGACGAGGCACUACGGUGCUGAAGUAACAAAUGCCCUGCUUCCAGGAAAAGCCUCUAAGCAUCAGGUAACAUUAAAUCGUACCCCAAACCGACACAGGUGGUCAGGUAGAGAAUACCAAGGCGCUUGAGAGAACUCGGGUGAAGGAACUAGGCAAAAUGGUGCCGUAACUUCGGGAGAAGGCACGCUGGUGUGUAGGUGAAGUCCCUGCGGAUGGAGCUGAGACCAGUCGAAGAUACCAGCUGGCUGCAACUGUUUAUUAAAAACACAGCACUGUGCAAACACGAAAGUGGACGUAUACGGUGUGACGCCUGCCCGGUGCCGGAAGGUUAAUUGAUGGGGUUAUCCGUAAGGAGAAGCUCUUGAUCGAAGCCCCGGUAAACGGCGGCCGUAACUAUAACGGUCCUAAGGUAGCGAAAUUCCUUGUCGGGUAAGUUCCGACCUGCACGAAUGGCGUAAUGAUGGCCAGGCUGUCUCCACCCGAGACUCAGUGAAAUUGAACUCGCUGUGAAGAUGCAGUGUACCCGCGGCAAGACGGAAAGACCCCGUGAACCUUUACUAUAGCUUGACACUGAACAUUGAGCCUUGAUGUGUAGGAUAGGUGGGAGGCUUUGAAGCGUGGACGCCAGUCUGCGUGGAGCCAACCUUGAAAUACCACCCUUUAAUGUUUGAUGUUCUAACGUUGGCCCCUGACCGGGGUUGCGGACAGUGUCUGGUGGGUAGUUUGACUGGGGCGGUCUCCUCCCAAAGCGUAACGGAGGAGCACGAAGGUUAGCUAAUCCUGGUCGGACAUCAGGAGGUUAGUGCAAUGGCAUAAGCUAGCUUGACUGCGAGCGUGACGGCGCGAGCAGGUGCGAAAGCAGGUCAUAGUGAUCCGGUGGUUCUGAAUGGAAGGGCCAUCGCUCAACGGAUAAAAGGUACUCCGGGGAUAACAGGCUGAUACCGCCCAAGAGUUCAUAUCGACGGCGGUGUUUGGCACCUCGAUGUCGGCUCAUCACAUCCUGGGGCUGAAGUAGGUCCCAAGGGUAUGGCUGUUCGCCAUUUAAAGUGGUACGCGAGCUGGGUUUAGAACGUCGUGAGACAGUUCGGUCCCUAUCUGCCGUGGGCGCUGGAGAAUUGAGGGGGGCUGCUCCUAGUACGAGAGGACCGGAGUGGACGCAUCACUGGUGUUCGGGUUGUCAUGCCAAUGGCACUGCCCGGUAGCUAAAUGCGGAAGAGAUAAGUGCUGAAAGCAUCUAAGCACGAAACUUGCCCCGAGAUGAGUUCUCCCUGAGACUUUAAGUCUCCUGAAGGAACGUUGAAGACGACGACGUUGAUAGGCCGGGUGUGUAAGCGCAGCGAUGCGUUGAGCUAACCGGUACUAAUGAACCGUGAGGCUUAACCUU